rnacentral:lncRNA from 1 species
AUCCCAUUUGCAGUACUGUCCACCUGCUAAGGCACGAUAAAACCGAUCUCUGCAGUAGACUGGCCUUCCAUCUGCUGCCUCAGCCGCAGCAGCUGCAAGGUCAUCAUCAUCCUUCACCUCUAUUGGUAAUCUAAGAAGCUCUUCUUUCCUACAUUCAUUGCAAAGUUGAUAAGAAGUUAGUCAAUGCAGGUCAUACUUUGAGCUAGUUACAAAACUUUGGUGAGGGCCAACCUCAGAUUAGGUUUGAUCUGUGAAGUUGCAGAGUUCAAAUUAUUGUCAUUUGAUCUGAAAGCUGAAUGCAGGAAGUCUUCCACUGGAGCAGCAAAUAUGAACAGUGACACAGCACUAACAAGCAAAGCUCCUGUCCCAACUAAUGUUUGUUUCAACAACUUAAUCACUGGUUUUACCUAAUGCACAAUGCGGUACUGUUCUUCAGCAUAGCUAUUCAUGCAUAUGAAAUAUAGACAAAGGAGAUUUUGUGAGAAACAACAGGUUCUUAUGGUGGCCUCAAAAUUUUUUUUGUAAUUGCAACCACAGACAUUAAUGGAAAGAACAGUUGGCAUCAACAGAUAGCAGAACAUAAUAACACAUAUAUUCUGAUCAUGUGGUUCCUCAUGUAAAGCAAAGGAUUCUGUUGAAGCAGUCUAAGCAAGCUAAGAACCAGAUGCUCCCUGUGCAUCUGGUGUUUGACCUUUCUGAUCAAAGUACAAAGUGAUAUCCAUAGGCCACUUGGUAGAAUAUCUUCAGUUGUACUAUGUGCAAGUGUAGAAAAAUGACUUGGAACUUCUUAUAUAGACAGAUAUGUGACAAUUCACCAUGCUGUAUCUUUGUUAAUUUUAAAGAAAUAUCAAAAGCAUUUACUGACUUCUGGAAACCACCAGCCAUAUCACAUAGCCAUAUUUUGCUUGUGAGGAUUGGGAAUGGGAUAUUCCUUCCUGCUAUUCUUAUUGGUCUUAUCUUCUUUUCUGAUAGAUUUGCCUCAUCUCUGUAAUUAAUGUCAUUAUUUCAUCUGAAUGUUAAUAUUAUGUGAAGAAUAGUCCGGUUUAACUUUUCUGGUAGAUGGCUUUUUAAAAGUCUGGACCAUCCUUUUUUUUGGUUUUCUGAAAUGUGCUGAUUAUGUGUGCAUAGCUACAGAGUGAUUCUACCAAAAACUGGAUAUAUGUGCUAACUAUGCAUUCAUAGCUAAAGGUGUGGCAGACUAAUAACUGAUUCACCUUCCAUCUGCUGCCUCAGAUGCAGCAGCUGCAAGGUCAUCAGCAUCCUUCACCUCAACUGAACAAGCAGGAGCAUGUGUUGGUUUACAUUGUGUGAUUCUCAUUAAAGACAACUAGAAAUUAUGGAACAUUAACCUCAUUAGUUACCAUAAAAAGUAAUUUAUAUUGCUGUCCAAGAAGGCAUUCUUUAUUUUUUGGAAUUCUUUACACACUAACAAGUAAAUAUGGUGACUUUGCAAUGAUCACAUACCUUAUAAGACCCCAACAGUCUAUCGCGAGCCAAUACCUAACAUAAGAAAUAGGCCACAUAUUACAUCAGAACAAUCAUAAAAUUCUUAAAAUACUACAUUUGCUAAAUCAACAAAUAGUAUAACUAGAACAAUUUUAUCUAGAAUACAUGGUUGUUAGUUUGUUAUAAGAAUUAGGGUAGGUCUAGUAGUGCAUGAGGUGCCCGACAAUGCAGGGGCUGGGAGGAACAAUGUAUCCAGUUUUGCUCAUUAAACGCAUGAAAUAGAAAUGGACCUUAACCUACCUAAUAUCAUUACUAUUUUUUUUGCAAUACUGUGCCUAGAUUCAUGAUCAAUUCAUUCUGAGUUAAAUUCUUUGCAAAUUUUCUUUUGCAAGUGGCUAGCUUGAUGAUUGUUGAUGACUAACCUCAGGUGGUUUCACCCACAUUUGCCCAUCAUACCACCCGGUUUCCUCAUAGGGUAUCACUGCUGAUAAUAGCCUGUUGCCAACAUAACUCCAUCCCUGUUACAUCAGAAUAUAAAAUGAAAUCAGCAGUUUUCACAUCAAACAUCAAAUUUUUUCAAACCUAUGAUAUCAAGUAAAUCAAGGAAUAUCAGAACACUGAAACAGAGUUGUACUUAGUACCCAAAAAUCAAUAAGCAAGAUAAUUCAUAUAUCUUGUUCAUCUUACUGAUGUUCAGAGUUGGAAAAGUUGGUGCAAGUAACUGAAUAAAGUCUUGAUUCUACAUUGUAGAACAUUUUUUAACAGAUAUAAGAAUGUACUGAUAAAUUAUCUGUUGUAGAUGGAUAUAGUAUCAGCAAAAAGGUAAUGAAAUUUAAAUCUUAUCUUCUGUGUUUAAAGAUACUUGAGGAAAAAUAAUAAAAACAAAGUUACAAGUUACUACUGUUACAUGGUAUCAUGUCCUGAAUUUAAAAUGGGGUUUGAAUAAGAUUUAGUGAGAGGAGGAAGGAGAAGCUAUUUCAACUAGAGGUCCAUGGACCAUAUGUUCUGCGCAUUGCAGGAUCUCCAACCAUUUAUAGCAGAUCAAUUACAGGAGUUCAUUGAUUCCACCAAAGUAACUAGACUUUUCUUUGUAAGCGUCGUUGUUGUUGUUGAAUUACUUCCAACUAUUCAAGUAAUUUGCAGGAGCUGUGUUGUUCAACUGUUCAUCUCUAUUUUAAUUCAUAUUAUUAAUAUAUAUUAUAUCGUUUACCAGAUAAAUCCGCAGUACCACCAGAGCCACCAGAAGAAGAGUUCCAGUCCCAGCUGCAAGAACAAACUUUAGUGGAUCCUAUACAAGAGCAGCAAAGAAGAGAGAAAAGUUAGAUAUAAAAAUGAUUUUUUUUUUUCAGCAGACAGAAAUAUGUAUGAUGUCCUUUAUACUUAUAGUAAGUUCUCACUUAUAACACAAAAUUUUCCUUUAAUCGAAUAUUAUGAGCGGUUGUGCAGAUGUUUGACUUAUCUUGCUCCUAGAAUUUUGAAUCAGUUACAUAACAUGUUGGCGAAGCAAUUAUACUAUCUUGUGAUGCAAGCUUACCAUUAUUUACAUGUUUUAUCAUGAACAAAAGAAGAUAAUUUCAUAUCAGAAUGAGAUGGUCAAUUUGAUCAUACCUUUGAAGGGUUGAAGCUUGCAGCUGCUAUCGGUGCUCCUAGAACCGUAAAUGUUACUAGCGAUAAGCUGCCAAGGCGUAAGAAGAAGUUCCCCGGACUCAGUUCUCCCCAGGAGUAAAGAGUACUAGUUUUCAAGGCAGCAUACUCGUUAACCUAUCACAUCAGUGAAAGUUAAGCUCAAGAAAACAGUAUAUGCUCUACUGAAUCUGUACAGUGAUUUAGUUUCCAUCGCUAUAUUUAGAAGUAUUAACUAGUCCUUAUUGAAGAUGGUGAAUGAGACACAAUAAAACAUUAAUUAAUUAACCAUGUUCACUGAUAUAGAGAAUGCAUAUGAACAUGUAAAGCUGUCUUCUGAAUUAUAUGACUUACUCAACCAAGUAAAAUUGAGAUUUUUUUUAAUCCUAUUAGAUAAGCAGAAACUGUACAUUUGGCCUUGACAUUAAUCAGGCCUUCUGCAAUGUGUUGAAGAAAUCAUGUGUGCAAAAUCUGUAAUGAAGUCACAAGAAAAAAAAGUUAAAGGGAUGCCAAAAUGCAUCACGCUCUACCAUCUAAUUUAAAGAAAUUCUAAUAGAACACUAGAGUUUCCGUUGUGGUGGUUUCUUUGACCUUGUUCUUUACUGGGGAAUCAGAUUGGAUCCUGCUUCUUUAUGCAUAAAAUCUAUCAUCUUUAAUCGAUUUGUUCUCUUAGAGAUUUGAUUACUCAUCUUUGGAGCCUCAGCCUCUUCUCAACAUAUCAAAUUUAAUACAACCAAAUUGCAAGUUGAAAUAAAUGGAUGGUACCGAGACAGUCCUUGUUAUCAUGAAGAAGGAAAAGAAAAAGGAAAACAAAUGAUGAUUCAGAAUCCUCCUAACUCCACUCAUGGAAUUACAUCUGCCAAGAAACUCCCAACAGUUCAACCCACCCAAUAAAACCUAACAAGAUUAAAUAGAUUAGUAUAUUAGCAAUUCUGGUUCCCUAGAGUUAGUAAAGCCCUUCUACCUCAAGCUAGAGAUAGUUUAGCUCUUCUAAUUUAAUCCCCUCAAAAGAAAAUACAAUCUGUUUCCCCUUUUGAUGAAAUAGAGAUACUUUUAACAUACAUCACAUACUCCAUAUAUGAAAUUAUGCAUAAAACUAACUGAAUUGCUUUGCUUUUUUAUGAGACCUUAAUAUUUGUUCUGUCUACAAGCGAGUGAGAUGACAUCAUGAAUGAAGGUAAGUUCAGUGCUCACAGGUCUCUGCUCAAAGGGCACUUCAAUCUCCAAGCCAGGAUCCCAGCUUUGCCCUGCAAAGCCGCCGGCGCCGCCUUCAGCAUCAUCCCUCACGGCCCUGACAGUACAGCAGAAGCGACU